GGCUGGCAGGGUCCCGGGCACGGAGCUGCGGGAGAGCGGGUGGGGGACGGGAGGAGGAACAGGGCGGGCGAGAGGGAAGCACAGAGGCGAGGUUACGAGGCGGAGAAGGGGCGCCCGGCGGCCCCGCCGCCCCCCACAGUACCGCACACGCAGCGGCCACCCCUCCACGCCGCCCCCCGCACACAGAUCGGCCCCCGCACACCGCCCGGGGCCGGAGCCCGGGCCCGGGCCGAGCCCGGCUCGCAGCGCCCGCUCGCCCGCCCGCCGCCCGCGCGGUGGGGGAGGGGGUCCCCGAGCCCGGCAGCUCCCGCAGUCAGGUCCCCGACACCUCCGCCUCGCCGCCCCCGGCCUCCCUCCCCCCACCCCUGCCGCCCGCGGCUGCCGGGCCGGGGUCGCCGCCCGGGCUCGGUCAGUCGGUACCUUCAUGAAGGUCUCUACCGCGCCUUUGGCCGUGUCCAGAUAUUUUGCUUUGAACAGCCCUGUAUUAAAAUAUUUCAAGGAAGUUUCAAUACAUUGACUGUCAAGAAACUACUAAAGCAUCUUUUAGAGCCAGUUGUUAAACAUUUACAAGCACACUACUGGACACAGCCAGCCUGAGACAACCUCUUGAUGUGGGAGCUAAGAAAAACUCACACACAGACCUCACUCUCAAGAUAGAAGGAGGACCCGACUCCCCCAGGAGUCUCUUGGUGUGUGCUACUCGAACCAUCAAGCAUGUCUCCAGUUUCUUCGUUUCUGUGCAGAAGCUCGGUGCUGAGGACGUAGGAGACCAGCAGUAGCAGAAGCCAUAGCUUGGAUGGAAUGAGGUGGCACAUGGAAUUGUACGCAAAUCCUGUGGGGAGGGACAUGUACCAGAUACAAGUCAAGGAAAGACACUGGGGACUAGAGUGAAGGCAACCCAAUCUGGACACAUGAAUGUCGCAUUCGAGAAAAGGAAAACAGGAAAACGUGGAAUGAGACCUCAUUACAAGGGUUUACAGAAGCACACGUAGAUGCGCUCAGAUAUCUGCUCUCCAUCUGAAACCACAUUGGUGACUGUACAGAGGGUUGGGAGAAUCCAUCUGGAAUCAGAAAUUUCAGAAUCAAACAAUACUGUGUUAGUGUUCUGAAAUGGUGAAUUUUAAAAGGAAAAGAAGACUUUAAAACAAUUUAAUAAAGAUAACAUGGAAAGAAUCGUAACCAAUUUAUUAAAUGAAAUAUAUCCAACUAAUUGUGAUA